rnacentral:misc_RNA from 1 species
GAAAUGCGAUAAGUAGUGUGAAUUGCAGAAUUCAGUGAAUCAUCGAAUCUUUGAACGCACAUUGCGCCCCUUGGUAUUCCAUGUGGCAUGCCUGUUCGAGCGUCAUUUGUACCCUCAAGCUCUGCUUGGUGUUGGGUGUUUGUCCCGUCUCCGCGCGUGGACUCGCCCCAAAGUGAUUGGCAGCCGGCGUACUGGUCCCGGAGCGCAGCACAUGUCGCGCAAACGAGUGCCUUGGUACGGCGGCGUCCAUAAGCCCCUCUCUCACGCUCUUGACCUCGGAUCAGGUAGGGAUACCCGCUGAACUUAAGC